GGGUUGUGAGGUUAAGCGACUAAGCGUACACGGUGGAUGCCCUGGCAGUCAGAGGCGAUGAAGGGCGUGCUAAUCUGCGAUAAGCGCCGGUAAGGUGAUAUGAACCGUUAUAACCGGCGAUACCCGAAUGGGGAAACCCAGUGUGAUUCGUCACACUAUCAUUAACUGAAUCCAUAGGUUAAUGAGGCGAACCGGGGGAACUGAAACAUCUAAGUACCCCGAGGAAAAGAAAUCAACCGAGAUUCCCCCAGUAGCGGCGAGCGAACGGGGAGGAGCCCAGAGCCUGAAUCAGCAUGUGUGUUAGUGGAAGCGUCUGGAAAGGCGCGCGAUACAGGGUGACAGCCCCGUACACAAAAGCGCAUGUGCUGUGAGCUCGAUGAGUAGGGCGGGACACGUGAUAUCCUGUCUGAAUAUGGGGGGACCAUCCUCCAAGGCUAAAUACUCCUGACUGACCGAUAGUGAACCAGUACCGUGAGGGAAAGGCGAAAAGAACCCCGGCGAGGGGAGUGAAAAAGAACCUGAAACCGUGUACGUACAAGCAGUGGGAGCACAGGUUUACCUGUGUGACUGCGUACCUUUUGUAUAAUGGGUCAGCGACUUAUAUUCUGUAGCAAGGUUAACCGAAUAGGGGAGCCGGAGGGAAACCGAGUCUUAACCGGGCGUUAAGUUGCAGGGUAUAGACCCGAAACCCGGUGAUCUAGCCAUGGGCAGGUUGAAGGUUGGGUAACACUAACUGGAGGACCGAACCGACUAAUGUUGAAAAAUUAGCGGAUGACCUGUGGCUGGGGGUGAAAGGCCAAUCAAACCGGGAGAUAGCUGGUUCUCCCCGAAAGCUAUUUAGGUAGCGCCUCGUGAAUUCAUCUCCGGGGGUAGAGCACUGUUUCGGCUAGGGGGCCAUCCCGGCUUACCAACCCGAUGCAAACUGCGAAUACCGGAGAAUGUUAUCACGGGAGACACACGGCGGGUGCUAACGUCCGUCGUGAAGAGGGAAACAACCCAGACCGCCAGCUAAGGUCCCAAAGUCAUGGUUAAGUGGGAAACGAUGUGGGAAGGCCCAGACAGCCAGGAUGUUGGCUUAGAAGCAGCCAUCAUUUAAAGAAAGCGUAAUAGCUCACUGGUCGAGUCGGCCUGCGCGGAAGAUGUAACGGGGCUAAACCAUGCACCGAAGCUGCGGCAGCGAACGUAUCACUUAAAGCGAUUCAGCGGGUUACGAUUGACGGAGCGAAGCGACGUCAAAGCGUAUACAAAGUCGAGUCGGUUUAAGGAUACGUUCGUUGGGUAGGGGAGCGUUCUGUAAGCCUGUGAAGGUGUGUCGUGAGGCAUGCUGGAGGUAUCAGAAGUGCGAAUGCUGACAUAAGUAACGAUAAAGCGGGUGAAAAGCCCGCUCGCCGGAAGACCAAGGGUUCCUGUCCAACGUUAAUCGGGGCAGGGUGAGUCGACCCCUAAGGC
rnacentral:rRNA from 1 species